UCUUUUAUUACGGAGUAUAAAUUGGAGUGUUUAAUUUGUUCAUUAUGGUGUUGUUUUUGUAAUUUUUUCUGCCAAGACCUGUUUUCAAUGGUUGAUGGUGGCUAAUACCAUACAAUUAUUUUUUAAUUUUUUAAAAUCAGGGGAUAAAUUCAACUUUAUAAAUGUCAAUAAUGUUGUUCAUCUCCAUUAUCUUAUUACCAAUUUAUCAUACCUGUUUUGGGCCGUAGUGGAGAACAAAAUACGCUCAAGAUGAUAAAUAAUCGAACAAAAGAGAAAAGACAUCCUUCUCUAAAUACACAAUGCUGAGAGCUUAAUUGCUUAAGGAACACGGAGGUAAACGAGGAAUAGUAAAAUGUCAUUGUAAAGAAGGCAAGUAGUUUGGGAAAACGGAAAAGGGUCAUUCCUGCCCCUAUACUAUUAAAUAUUAGUUAUUUGUACCCCGUUAUACUAUUCAACCCUUUUUAUCCCUACCGUUAGUGAUAUUGAUAUAUCUACUCUCUAAUUAAUGGUCCCAACUGGAACACAUGGCGUAAUCCUAAGAUACCAUACCUUUUUCUUUUAUUUUUAAUUUGCAUUUGCGGGGAAUUAAGACACCCGAUUUGAACCCACUGAUUGACCCGAUCCAGAACCCUUUAACGGGUUAAAUUAAAUGCCCCCUCCAACCCGUUUAUUUCAUUAAACCCCCAAAAGCUAUACUUCUACCGUUUCUUCUUCUUCAUCCAUCCCCAAAUCUUAGGGUUCUUCAAUCUCCAUAUUCUUCAAUUUUCUCACAGUUGUUCCCGUAAAUCAGUCAUUUAGUUUCAACAAUGUCACAAGAUAGUUGUUCGUCUCAAGAAGUUGGUUCGAAGAGGAGGUAUUUAUGCGAUCUGACUGCCCACUACUUUACGACUUACACUACAUGCAACGCUGGUCGGAGAUUCUACAAAUGUCCUAAACCUGAUAAAACUUUGUGUGGUUAUUUCGAAUGGGUUGAUGAAGUAUUAUCGGACAGAGCUGUGACUGUUAUUUGCAAGUUGAAGUCGCAAUUGGAUGUAGCCAAGGUUGAAAGCCUGAAAUUAAAGAAAAAGUUGAAGCAAUGGAGGCUAUAAUUGAAGUUGGAGAGACCGAAACAAGCAUGUUGAAGUCGAUGUUGGAUGCGGCUUAUCUCAAAAGGGACUUAUUGAAGAAUAAAGUUGAAGAAAUGGAGGCUACAAAUCAACUGGAAAGGACCAAUUCCAAGAAAAUGAACUUAGUUAUUUUGAUAUCAUGGGACCUAUUUGGUACCUUAAUUGCAGCUUGUUUGAUGAAUUAAAUGAUAUCUAAUGUUGUGGUAUUUUGUAUUAUUAAGUUAAUUUAGGUUGGGAUAUUUAGAGCAAUGUAUUGUAUAUUAUUGUAUGUUAUUAAAUGCCUAUUGUAUUAUGAAGCAAUCUAGUGUGUGUUGGGUGAAAGAUGAAAUUAGCCAUGUAUUA